UACCUCCCUCCCAGCAACUGGCCUGGCGGCAACGCGGCCUUAAACCAAGGAGGCGGAGCUGAGAUUGGGUCGGGAUUGCUUGCUAACUCCAGGACCAGGUACCGGGCUGGCGGGGCCGCCUGGUGCGCUCCAGGAAUCGGUCCCUCCUUGCCCUGACGCCGAUACCAUCUCCUCGGGGGCGGGCCUGCGGCAGAGCGGCCAUCCUGAGCCCCACCUCGCCCUCUACGGGCCCCUUUUCACCCGAAUUCUUGUCGAUUCCCGCAACGAGGGGCUGCAGCCCGAGAGCAGAAUAGGCUUGGGCCUGGCCCGGAGACACCGGAGCAGAGUUGCCGGGCGGAAGAGGCGAGCGCCUGCUGCCUCUCCUCUUCCCCUCUCAUUUUCAGGUUUAAAUUUUUGAAAUUGAAGUAGGUCUACACGUUAGGAACUCAUGUCUUUUCUUGUAAGUAAACCAGAGCGAAUUAGGCGGUGGGUCUCGGAAAAGUUCAUUGUUGAGGGCUUAAGAGAUUUGGAACUAUUUGGAGAGCAGCUUCCGGGUGACACUCGGAGAAAAACCAAUGAGGCGAGCGCAGAGUCGAUAGCAUCCUUCUCUAAACAGGAGAUCAUGAGUAGCUUUCUGCCGGAGGGAGGGUGUUAUGAGCUGCUCACCGUUAUAGGCAAAGGAUUUGAGGACCUGAUGACAGUGAACCUAGCAAGGUACAAACCAGCGGGAGAGUAUGUGACAGUACGAAGGAUUAACCUAGAAGCUUGUUCCAAUGAGAUGGUGACAUUCUUGCAGGGGGAGCUCCAUGUCUCUAAGCUCUUCAGCCAUCCCAAUAUCCUGCCAUAUCGAGCCACCUUUAUUGCAGACAAUGAGCUGUGGGUUGUCACCUCGUUCAUGGCAUACGGCUCUGCAAAGGACCUCAUCUGCACACACUUCAUGGACGGCAUGAAUGAGCUGGCAAUUGCUUACAUACUGCAGGGGGUGCUCAAGGCCCUGGACUACAUCCACCACAUGGGAUACGUGCACAGGAGUGUCAAAGCCAGCCACGUUCUGAUCUCAGCGGAUGGGAAGGUCUACCUCUCUGGUUUACGCAGCAACCUCAGCAUGAUCAGCCACGGGCAGCGGCAGCGUGUGGUCCACGACUUUCCCAAGUACAGUAUCAAGGUUCUGCCGUGGCUCAGCCCAGAGGUCCUCCAGCAGAAUCUUCAGGGUUACGAUGCCAAGUCUGACAUCUACAGUGUGGGAAUCACGGCCUGUGAACUAGCCAAUGGCCACGUCCCCUUUAAGGACAUGCCUGCCACCCAGAUGCUGCUGGAGAAGCUGAAUGGCACGGUACCCUGCCUGCUGGACACCAGCACCAUCCCUGCCGAGGAGCUGACCAUGAGCACCUCGCGCUCAGCGGCCAACUCUGGCCUGAGUGAGAGCCUGGCCCCCAGCAGCCCCAGGACCUCCAAUGGCGACACGCCAUCCCACCCCUAUCACCGCACCUUCUCACCCCACUUCCACCACUUUGUGGAGCAGUGCCUUCAGCGUAACCCGGAUGUAAGACCAAGUGCCAGCACCCUCCUGAACCAUUCUUUCUUCAAGCAGAUCAAGCGACGUGCCUCAGAGGCUUUGCCUGAGUUACUUCGUCCUGUCACCCCCAUCACCAAUUUUGAAGGCAGCCAGUCUCAGGAUCACAGUGGAAUCUUUGGCCUGGUAACAAACCUGGAAGAGCUGGAGGUGGACGACUGGGAGUUCUGAGCCUCUGAAGAAGCCUGUGGCCAUCAAACUGCUUUGGGGCUGGAAAGGUCUGAGUGCUGGAGACCGGCCGCUCUGCAGGACCACUUCUGGGCCACUGGAGCCCAGGCAGAAGAGGCUCACUUUUGUCAGGAAAGGAGGUGGACGGGGUUGUUCUGGAACAGGACUCCGUGUCUCCUCACCGUUGGGACUCAUACUCAAAGAGCAGGGCUGAUUCUGUGAGGCAGAAUCCUGGGCAGGGCAAGGGGGCCUGAGGCGCCAGCCAAGCGCUGCUCCUUGCACCUCCGAGGGCUUCACGUCUCUUGCAUCACCACGGCCCCCUGUGAGCAUCUGACGACAGGUGUGGAAGCUUGGCUGGUAAAGAUGCCCAUUAACAGUUUUAGAAGUUCUCACACACCCCAUCCAGGGAGUUCGGGGGGCUGCAGCUCAACCCAAACGUAAAUCUUCCUCCAGAGAGGGAGGGAGGCUGAGGAGAAGAGUGAAGCACAGCCUGGGUGCCCUGAGCCAGCCAAGGGAACAGCUGGGGGCUGGGGAUGCCCGCGGCCCCGCUCGCUCGCUCGCUCGCUCGCUCGCUCUCCUGCCAGGUGAGUGCCAUGAGCUGUUCUGUUCCUGACAAGCGUGUGGGCCUCGCUCUUGAGCCACUAGUUCUGUUCCUGCCAUCGCAUGGGAACAAGCUAUGCUUAGGGCUGUGCUUCGUGAAACAGCUUCCAGCUGCGACAGGGAGGUGGCUUCCCUGUGCUCCCCGCAGAGCUGAGGCUCUACCCCACAAAAGCGCUUUAGGACGGCAGCCUCUGGGCACCACAGCCGCAGGCUCCCUGUUUCCCUC